AACAUUUUUAAUGCCUAAAUAAAAUUUAAACCUAUUUAGCAAUAUUGAUUAUGUUCAGUAAGGAAAAGUAUUUUCUUAGAGAUAAGUUUCCACUGUGAGUUAAGCAUUUCCAGUUAGAGAAUUCCUCAAAGGGUCAGGUCUGAAGUUCACAUCAUGGUGAAUACAGAAAACCUAAUACAGCUCCAGAGAAAAUUUCUCAUAAUAUUCAAAAUCUGUUCGCAAUAAGCAGAAGUAAAAUAAUUUCAAUUUUCACCCAGGAUAGGGAACGUGAUUUUUAACCAGGUUGAGGCAAAUAUUUUCCCCUGAAAUAACUAGAGAUGCAUCCUGCUUAUCUUCAAGUAGCUACUCUAGUUCCCUGAAACUGAGGAGGUGAGGUCCAGCGUCCAACAUGGUGCCCAAGUGACAGUCCCAGAAAACCCCAGAUCCAAGACUGAUCCCAGGAUGAGACAACACAGAAUCUAGCCCUGCUCCUGUUCUCAUG